rnacentral:sRNA from 1 species
GUCCCUACUGUUCACCCUUGCAGUUUUUAUGCUUCUGGCUCAACUGGUCUCAGGUAGUUGGUAUGUGAAAAAGUGUCUAAACGAUGUUGGAAUUUGCAAGAAGAAGUGCAAACCUGAAGAGCUGCAUACAAAGACUACAAGAACUUCGACAGUAACAGCAACAACAGCAACAAGAGCAACAACAGCAACAACAACAACUUUGAUGAUGACUACUGCUUCAAUGUCUUCGAUGACUCCUACUCCUGUUUCUCCCACUGGUUGAACAUUCCAGCCUCUGUCUCCUGCUCUAGGAUCCCCGACUCAUUAAAGCAAAGAGGCU